GCCUUCGUGGUGUAGUAGUGGUCAGCACGCUCGGCCAGUAUUUGAGAGGUCCGUGGUUCGAAUCCCGGCGAGAGCA
rnacentral:tRNA from 1 species